CAUCCAUAAACUUUGCUGUCACAUGUUGUUCCUGUCGUGUGGUUCUGUGGGUUUCAGAAGUAUUGCUGAUGGAAAAUUCUGUGUUGUGGUUCUGCUGGUGUUACUGGUUCUGCUGGUGAGACAACAUGUUCAAAGGAAAUCUGAAGGGGAGAAGGUGGAGAUGAUGACAUCAUGUUCAGUGAUAGCAAAAGCUGAAGUCAACAACAGCCAAUCAGAGGAAGCAGAGUUCCUCCCACCAGAGACACACGCACAGGAUGUAAAGAAGAAACACAAGGAGAGAAGACCUGAGAU